AUGGUUCUGCGCGAGUUGAUUGAUGACUCUGAAUGGCCGGAAGUGCGUGGUAUCAACGGCUAUGCAACGUUUUUGGGGUGCCUGGCGAUGGUAAUCAGAGGGUUCAGCUUCCUAGUGGUUACCUGGAUCACCGUCGUACUCCUUGGCGGCUUCGUCUCUCUGCUGCAGAAGAAGGAUUUCUGGUGUCUUAUGGUGAUUACCUUUAUACAAAUAGCCGGGUGA
rnacentral:rRNA from 1 species